AACUACCACGGUGAUCUGAGCGGGCUCCAUGCUUGCCGUGGUAUGGUGUCUGCAAGAGAGCAGAGUUGCGGUGGAAGCGGUGGCUGACAGAUGCUACAAGAAUAGAUAUUUAUAGAGAACGACGAAAGGACCUGCGAGGUGGAUUCAUGAGAGCAGAUUUGCAGCGGAAGAGGUGGAGGAUGAUGGUUAGCACC